rnacentral:piRNA from 1 species
UGGGCUAUGUCAGAAGGGUUCAGCAGU